UGUAUGGUUAAGUGACUAAGCGUACACGGUGGAUGCCUGGGCAGUCAGAGGCGAUGAAGGACGUACUAACUUGCGAUAAGCGCAGAUAAGGCAGUAAGAGCCGUUUGAGUCUGCGAUUUCCGAAUGGGGAAACCCAACUGCAUAAGCAGUUACUGUUAACUGAAUACAUAGGUUAACAGAGCAAACCGGGGGAACUGAAACAUCUAAGUACCCCGAGGAGAAGAAAUCAACCGAGAUUCCGGUAGUAGCGGCGAGCGAACCUGGAUUAGCCCUUAAGCACUCGGUGAAGUAGGUGAACAAGCUGGAAAGCUUGGCGAUACAGGGUGAUAGCCCCGUAACCGACGCUUCAUCGAGCGUGAAAUCGAGUAGGGCGGGACACGUGAUAUCCUGUCUGAAUAUGGGGGGACCAUCCUCCAAGGCUAAAUACUCCUGACUGACCGAUAGUGAACCAGUACCGUGAGGGAAAGGCGAAAAGAACCCCUGUGAGGGGAGUGAAAUAGAACCUGAAACCGUGUACGUACAAGCAGUAGGAGCACCUUCGUGGUGUGACUGCGUACCUUUUGUAUAAUGGGUCAGCGACUUAUAUUCAGUGGCAAGGUUAACCGUAUAGGGGAGCCGUAGCGAAAGCGAGUCUUAACUGGGCGCUCAGUCUCUGGAUAUAGACCCGAAACCGGGUGAUCUAGCCAUGGGCAGGUUGAAGGUUGAGUAACAUCAACUGGAGGACCGAACCGACUAAUGUUGAAAAAUUAGCGGAUGACUUGUGGCUAGGGGUGAAAGGCCAAUCAAACUCGGAGAUAGCUGGUUCUC
rnacentral:rRNA from 1 species